CUUUGGAAGUAACAUAUUUUUAUUUUAUUCAUUUAAAAACCGAAUUGUCAAGGGGUUCCAUCACACAUGCACGUGCGCGCGCACACACACACACACACACACACACACACACACACACACACAAUGCUUUAACAAGUGCAUUCCCCAUGUCAUAAAGGAGAAUGAAGAUUUAGGUUGAGUCUCCAGCUUAGAGUAUAUGGUGAAGAGGAACAGUAUAGCUUAGAGCAGCCCAAAACAUCAGUCCACCAGCUCAUGUAGAGAUCUAGAUAAAUGGGAUACUCAAAUUUGGAUGUCAGAAGGCUGAAAAAGGUAGCCUUGGAGGCUGACUCGUGCACCAAUAAUGCAGGAGUCCUGCGGUGAAGGAUGUCACGGACGGCUCAAUUCCACCGACCAAGAUUGUUCCUUCUCUGCAGGUUUAAUCUGCUCUGAAACCAUGUUGCUUUGAAAUUAUCAUCAGGUCAGAAGUGUCUAAGCUGAGAGUAACGGCAUUCUGCUGGGCUGCUGGGUCACCGUGCUCCAUUUUUUUUGUGCCCUUUGCUCAUCCCCAGAAGGUGGCUGGCUACUCAUCUCUCCAGGCACUGGGUCAACUCUUGGAGCUGUAAAGACAAAAUUGAAGCAGUCACUGUCCUCAAGGACUUCAUGGACUUCUGGAUUUUAUAGAUCUCUUGGACCCCAGGGAUCGUCCAGUUCAAUUCCAUACUGGCAGCAAGAAUUCCUCUGUAUAACGAAGCUCCUUCAGUGA
rnacentral:lncRNA from 1 species